UAAACUUGAGAAACCAGAGAAGCCUGUAAAUGGAGAAGACAAAGGUGACUCAGGUGUUAAUAAUCAAAAUAGUGAAGGUAAUGCAGAUGAGGAAGAUCCACUUGGCCCCAACUGCUACUAUGACAAAACCAAAUCCUUUUUUGAUAACAUCUCCUGUGAUGACAAUAGAGAACGGCAACCCACCUGGGUUGAGGAAAGAAGGCUAAAUGCAGAGACCUUUGGGAUACCACUACGUCCCAGUCGUGGCCGUGGAGGGUACAGAGGCAGAGGGGGGAUUGGCUUCAGAGGUGGAAGAGGACGAGGAGGUGGAAGAGGUGUCUUCACUGCCCCUCGAGGAUUCCGUGGUGGAUUCAGAGGAGGUCGUGGAGGCAGGGAGUUUGCUGACUUUGAAUAUAGGAAAGACAACAAGGUUGCUGCAUAAUCUGCACAAAGUUGAAACUGGUUGAACGUCUAGAUCUACUUGAUCCAGAGAAUUAACUUCAGUCUCCACAAAGAAUGAAGUUAACUUGCUGUAUACUUGUCACCAGCACUGGGAUUUAACUAUUUAAUUUCAAAGGGUAUAAUGCUUUGAAAACUUUUGAAAAAUGGCCAUCUUUGAAAACAGUGAGCAUUAACUAUAUUUGAGACAAAAGGAUGAGUAAUUUCUUAUGUAUAGUUAAUUAUAAAGCAGUACUUUGAUGGGGUUUAUUUUUUCAUCCUUAAAAAGAUUUUUCUUAUGACUAAACUGUAUCUGAAGCAAUUAUCAACUUGUAAGGACAGUUGUAUGCAGAAGGCCGUUGAUACUGUGAGUGUUUCGACCCACUGAAGGUUUGUUGGUUUGUUUUGUUUGUUUUUUUUUUUUUU